CCUACGGGAGGCAGCAGUAGGGAAUAUUGGGCAAUGGAGGCAACUCUGACCCAGCCAUGCCGCGUGCAGGAAGACGGUCCUCUGGAUUGUAAACUGCUUUUGAAUGGGAAGAAUGUGCUCCUUGCGAGGGGUAAUGACGGUACCAUUAGAAUAAGCCACGGCUAACUACGUGCCAGCAGCCGCGGUAAUACGUAGGUGGCGAGCGUUAUCCGGAUUUAUUGGGUUUAAAGGGUGCGUAGGCGGCUUAAUAAGUCGGUGGUUAAAAGUAGCAGCUUAACUGUUUUACAUGCCAUCGAUACUGUUGAGCUUGAGAUAUUUGGAGGCAGCUAGAAUUUCCGGUGUAGCGGUGAAAUGCAUAGAUACCGGAAGGAAUACCAAUUGCGAAGGCAGGUUGCUACGAAUAAACUGACGCUGAUGCACGAAAGCGUGGGGAUCAAACAGGAUUAGAUACCCUGGUAGUCCACGACCGUAACGAUAGAUACUAGUUGUUGGGUUUAGUACUCNGUGACGAGGAACGAUAAGUAAUACACNGGAGAGCGCGACGNGAGUAAGAGUAGAGNGNGNGAGNGCGAGNGACAGAGGAGAG
rnacentral:rRNA from 1 species